rnacentral:rRNA from 1 species
GACAGAGGUGCCGAGCGUUAGGCGGAAUCACUGGGCUUAAAGCGUGUGUAGGCGGGCGGGCAAGUACCUUGUGAAAUCCCACGGCUCAACCGUGGAACGGCUGGGUAUACUGCCUGUCUUGAGCCAACUAGGGGCGAGCGGAACAGACGGUGGAGCGGUGAAAUGCGUAGAUAUCGUCUGGAACGCCAACGGCGAAAGCACUCUGCUGGGCCGACACUGACACUGAGAGACGAAAGCUAGGGGAGCGAAUGGG